rnacentral:lncRNA from 1 species
GCCUUCCACCCGCGCCUGCCCUGCCUGCUGGUGGCCACCCAGGGCCAGGUGACGCUGUGGCGCGAGGACACCUUCCAGCCCGAGGGGGACCCCGACACCUGAAGGUGACACAUGGGGACACCUUCCAGCCCGAGGGGGACCCCAACACCUGAGGGGACACGUGGGGACACCUUCCAACCCGAGGGGGACCCCGACACCUGAGGGGACACACAAGGACACCUUCCAGCCCGAGGGGGACCCUGACACCUGAAGGUGACACGUGGGGACACCUUCCAGCCCGAGGGGGACCCCAACACCUGAGGGGACACACAAGGACACCUUCCAGCCCGAGGGGGACCCCGACACCUGAGGGGACACGUGGGGACACCUUCCAGCCCGAGGGGGACCCUGACACCCGAGGGGACACACGAGGAAUAAACCCCCCUGAGGAGACCCUGCCGUGCUUUAUUGGGGGCCAGAAUAAAUAAACGCGAGCGCCGCGGGAGGGGGGACACGCGGACAGGGGGGUGCAGGUGUGGGGGAACCCCUGAGGGCCCCCCAAAGGGACUCGCCACAGUGCCCCCCAUGCUGUGGGAGCUGCGAGGGGCUCAGACACCCAGAGCUGAGACUGGGGGUCCUUCAGGCCUUGGGGGUCGCUGUGGGAACCGGGUGUCACUCAGGCCUCGGGGGUCUCUGCAGGCCUCGGGGGUCCCCAUGGGCACUGGGGGUCCCUCAGGCCUUGGGGGUCCCCGCGGGCACCGGGAAGGCGUCGGCGCUCCGUGCGAACGUCUCUGCCACGAGCAGCGGGAACACGAGCGAGGCAUCGGCGUACACCUGGCACAGACCAGAGGGGUCAGAACCCCCCAGCCCGGGCUCCCCAAAUCCCCCCUCAGCCCCCCGGGACCCCCACCUUGACGGGGGUGGCAUCCACGCGGAUCUUGCCCCAGGACACGGCCUCGUCCGGCCGCGCGCCCGAGUCGGAGCCAUCGAACUCCUGCGCCGUGUUGACAUAGACGGAGAAAU